AGAUUGAACGCUGGCGGCAGGCCUAACACAUGCAAGUCGAGCGGCAGCACGGGUACUUGUACCUGGUGGCGAGCGGCGGACGGGUGAGUAAUGCCUAGGAAUCUGCCCGGUAGUGGGGGAUAACGCUCGGAAACGGACGCUAAUACCGCAUACGUCCUACGGGAGAAAGCAGGGGACCUUCGGGCCUUGCGCUAUCAGAUGAGCCUAGGUCGGAUUAGCUAGUUGGUGAGGUAAUGGCUCACCAAGGCGACGAUCCGUAACUGGUCUGAGAGGAUGAUCAGCCACACUGGGACUGAGACACGGCCCAGACUCCUACGGGAGCAGCAGUAGGGAAUAUUGGACAAUGGGCAAAGCCUGAUCCAGCAAUGCCGCGUGAGUGAUGAAGGCCUUAGGUUGUAAAGCUCUUUUACCCGAGAUGAUAAUGACAGUAUCGGAGAAUAAGCCCCGGCUAACUCCGUGCCAGCAGCCGAC
rnacentral:rRNA from 1 species